GACGAACCGUGCAAACGUUAUUCGGAAUCACUGGGCAUAAAGGGCGCGUAGGCGGCUUGACAAGUCAGGGGUGAAAUCCGGCAGCUUAACUGUCGCAGUGCCUUUGAUACUGUCGAGCUCGAGGGAGGUAGGGGUCUGUGGAACUUCCGGGUGUAGCGGUGGAAUGCGCAGAGAUCCGGAAGAACACCGGUGGCGAAGGCGGCCCGCUGGGCAACUGCUGACACUGAGGCGCGACAGCGUGGGGAGCAAACAGG
rnacentral:rRNA from 1 species